rnacentral:rRNA from 1 species
GACGAACGCUGGCGGCGUGCUUAACACAUGCAAGUCGAACGAAGUGGCGAACGGGUGAGUAACGCGUAAUCAACCUGCCCUUCAGCGGGGGACAACAGUUGGAAACGACGGCUAAUCCCGCAUAUUGCACGCGGGGCUUGCGUCUGAUUAGCUAGUUGGGGCGGGCACGGCCCACCAAGGCGAUGAUCAGUAGCCGGUCGGAGAGGAUGAACGGCCACAAUGGGACUGGGACACGGCCCAGACUCCUACGGGAGGGAGCAGUGGGGAAUCUUCCGCAAUGGACGAAAGUCUGACGGAGCAACGCCGCGUGAGUGAUGACGGCCUUCGGGUUGUAAAGCUCUGUUAAUCGGGACGCGGUACCGGAAUAGAAAGCCACGGCUAACUACGUGCCAGCAGCCGCGGUAAUAC